UAGGGAAUCUUCGGCAAUGGACGAAAGUCUGACCGAGCAACGCCGCGUGAGUGAAGAAGGUUUUCGGAUCGUAAAACUCUGUUGUUUGAGAAGAACAAGGACGUUAGUAACUGAACGUCCCCUGACGGUAUCUAACCAGAAAGCCACGGCUAACUACGUGCCAGCAGCCGCGGUAAUACGUAGGUGGCAAGCGUUGUCCGGAUUUAUUGGGCGUAAAGCGAGCGCAGGCGGUUUCUUAAGUCUGAUGUGAAAGCCCCCGGCUCAACCGGGGAGGGUCAUUGGAAACUGGGAGACUUGAGUGCAGAAGAGGAGAGUGGAAUUCCAUGUGUAGCGGUGAAAUGCGUAGAUAUAUGGAGGAACACCAGUGGCGAAGGCGGCUCUCUGGUCUGUAACUGACGCUGAGGCUCGAAAGCGUGGGGAGCAAACAGG
rnacentral:rRNA from 1 species